UACGGGGGGAGCAAGCGUUGUUCGGAUUUACUGGGCGUAAAGGGCGCGUAGGCGGCCAGCGCAAGUCAGUUGUGAAAUCUCCGGGCUUAACUCGGAAAGGUCAACUGAUACUGCGCGGCUAGAGUGCAGAAGGGGCAACUGGAAUUCUCGGUGUAGCGGUGAAAUGCGUAGAUAUCGAGAGGAACACCGGUGGCGAAGGCGGCAUCCUGGACCAACACUGACGCUGAGGAGCGAAAGCCAGGGGAGCAAACGGG
rnacentral:rRNA from 1 species